CUCACCUGAGGGGAGGACUCUGCUGAGGCCUCUUAAUGGGGACUCCCACCUGGCUGUCUCCAGGGGACUUCCCCAGCUGAUAAGGUUGGAUGUUCAUAUUUUCCUGGGGUCUUUGCCACGAUUUUAGUAUUUUACUUGCUUCUUCAUAUACUCUUACCUGGACAAAAUGACAAGGCAGAAAAAUUCACCACAAAAAAAAAAAAAAAAAAAGAAGAACAAGAGGCAGUACCAAAAGCUAGGGACCUAAUCAAUACAGACAUUGGUAACAUGUGAGAUCUAGAGUUCAAAUUGACGAUUCUCAAGGUUCUAGCCGGGCUCGAUAAAGACAUGGAAGAUAUUAGAGAAACCCUCACCAGAGAGAUAAAAGCCCUUUCUGGAGAAAUAAAAGAACUAAAAUCUAACCAAGUUGAAAUUAAAAAAGCUAUUAAUGAGGUGCAAUCAAAAAUGGAGUCUCUAGAAGACCAGAUGACACAGAAUAAAGAAGCUGUGCAAAAGAGGGACAAACAGCUACUGGACCACGAGGGGAGAAUUUGAGAGAUAAGUGACACCAUAAGACGAAACAACAUUAGAAUAAUUGAGAUUCCAGAAGAAGAAGAAAGAGAGAGUGGAGCAGAAGGUAUAUUGGAGAGAAUUAUUGGAGAGAAUUUCCCUAAUGUGGCAAAGGGAACAAGCAUAAAAAUCCAGGAGGUGCAGAGAACUCCCCCUCAAAAUCAACCAGAAUAGGUCCACACCCCAUCACCUAAUAGUAAAAUUUACAAGUCUUAGCAACAAAGAGAAAAUCCUGAAAGCAGCCCAGGAAAAGAAGUCUAUAACAUACAAUGGUAAAAAUAUUAGAUUGGCAGCAGACUUAUCCACAGAGACCUGGCAGGCCAGAAAGAACUGGCAUGAUACAUUCAGAGCACUAAACGAGAAAAACAUGCAGCCAAGAAUACUAUAUCCAGCUAGGCUAUCAUUGAAAAUAGAAGGAGAGAUAAAAAGCUUCCAAGACAAACAAAAACUGAAAGAAUUUGCAAACACCAAACCAGCUCUACAGGAAAUAUUGAAAGGAGUCCUCUGAGCAAAGAGAGAGCCUAAAAGUAGUAGAUCAGAAAGGAACAGAGACAAUAUACACUAACAGUCAACUUACAGGCUAAAUACAAUGGCACUAAAUUCAUAUCUCUCAAUAGUUACCCUGAAUGUUAAUGGGCUAAAUGUCCCAAUCAAAAGACACAGAAUCAGAAUGGAUAAAAAAACAAAACCCAUCUAUAUAUUGACUAUAAGAAACUCAUUUUAGACCUGAAGACACCUCCAGAUUUAAAGUGAGGGGGUAGAAAACAAUUUACCAUGCUAAUGGACAUCAGAAGAAAGCAGGGGUGGCAAUCCUUAUAUCAGAUCGUUUAGAUUUUAAGCCAAAAUAAGAGAUGAGGACGGACACUAUAUCAUACUCAAAGGAUCUGUCCAACAAGAAGAUCUAACAAUUUUAAAUAUCUAUGCCCCUAAAGUGGGAGCAGCCAACUAUAUAAACCAAUUAAUAACAAAAUCAAAGAAACACAUCAACAAUAAUAUGAUAAUAGUAACGGACUUUAACACUCCCCUCACUGAAAUGGACAAUCAUCCAAGCAAAAGAUCAACAAAGAAAUAAAGGCCUUAAAUGACACACUGGACCAGAUGGACAUCACAGAUAUAUUCAGAACAUUUCAUCCCAAAGCAAUAGAAGACACAUUCUCCUCUGGUGCACAUGACACAUUCUCCAGACUAGAUCACAUCCUCGGUUCUAAAUCAGGUCUCAACCGGUAUCAAAGAUUGGGAUCAUUCCCUGCUUAUUUUCAGACCACAAUGCUCUGAAGCUAGAACUCAAUCACAAGAGGAAAUUUGGAAAGAAUUAAAAUACAUGGAGACUAAACAGCAUCCUUCUAAAGAAUGAAUGGGUCAGGGCGCCUGGGUGGCUCAGUGGGAAAAAGCCUCUGCCUUCAGCUCAGGUCAUGAUCUUAGGGACCUGGGAUCGAGCCCCACAUCAGGCUCUCUGCUCAGCAGGGAGCCUGCUUCCUCCUCUCUCUCUCUGUCUACUUGAGAUCUCUGCCUAUAAAAUAAAUAAAUAAAAUCUUU